UGCGCAAAAAUUUACCGCCAAAUUUGUCGCUCUUUCCUUGUGGUACUCGGCACCCGAGAGAGAGAGCGGUGAUAUGAUGGAGGCGGCGCCGGGGCCUUUGGUUUGUGAGCGGUUCCAUCCGCGGCACGAUUCUCGCUGGCUUCUGGAGUUCCUGCCUUCGCCGCUUUGCUUGGCAUGCGCUAUUGAGACGCUAAAGGAGGACCAGACCUCGCUAGUCCGUAAGAAGCAUGUGCUUUCCUGUCUUCGAGAUGUUCUGAUUCGGCAUGCAACACUGGUCAUCCCAUUGCUUGCACAAGAUGAAAGAGUGUGUGCCCAUUUCAUAGCAACUUUGUUUGAGAUCUUACAAACUGUGGAAGAUGGCAGUAUACUGGAUUUAGUCAUUGAAGCUUUGGUACUGCUGGUAGUAGAGCUGAAGUUGGAGCGAUACCUGCAUUAUUUAUUGGAUGAAUGCCAGAAAGAGUUACGCAUGGUAGCUGCCACCAGAAGCAGCUUACCCAUGUUUACUCUCCUUGGAAAGUUGGCAGAUGCCAUCCCAAUUUUUGCUGAUGUAUGGGUAGUUGAACACAGUAAUAUGAUGGAGCAUCUGGCUAUAGGUUUGAUGUACCCGAAUGAGAGCAUAAAGGCAGCUAUAUGUUAUCUUUAUGGCAAGCUGUACUCUGUCCCCAGUGCUGCAGAGCGGCUGUUUGUGCAUUUCACAGAGAGGCUGUGUAGCCUCUUUCUGACGACUCUGAAGAAUGCACAGACCAAGGAGUUGCAAGUUAACUCAAUGGGUUUGCUAAAACAGCUGCUGAAAUAUGAGAACUUUGUUUCAGUUAUUAUGAGUAAUUCAGGGAGAGGAGCAGAUUCUGCAAGCCCAGAGUUGUUUGAAGGAGAAAGUCCAUUACCUUUAAUGUUCAAGAAGCUGCUGUUGUCAAGAGAUGAGACAUUACAGGUAGCAAGUGCUCAGUGUAUGGCUGCUGUACUGGUGCAUUCUCCAGCAAAAUAUGCUCCUGCCUUUAUCCAUGCAGAUAUCCCAGAGUUCCUGUUUGAGUGUCUCUUCUGCAUGAGUGAAAUUCUCAUCUGGUCAAUUUAUUGCUGCCUGCUGCUCCUGACUGAGGAACAACUUUUCUUUUCCAAGUGCCACACUGUCUAUGGCAUUGAACCUGUUUUAAGGAGCCUGAAAGAAAUAUUGCAUCUUAAUAAUGCGGAAUUGCACAAGCAGGGACUUCUACUUUUCACUGAAAUUUUGAAAAGGCAACCAGUAGAAAUCAAAUUACUUACAAAUAUCUCUGUCUUUAAAGAUGCUAUUAGUGUUAUUUUGGAAGCUUUAAACUGUCCUAUUCUUGAAGUAGCAGCUGAAGCUGUGAAAGCUGUGGCUGCAAUUCUGAGAAAAGAUCAUGUGACCAUUCUACCAAUUCAAUACAGAGAAUUACAGAAGCUGGUUGAAGGUGUACUGAAGCGAUGUACUGAUCUCCCAUUGCCACUUCUUAAUAGGAGGCUCAUGGGUCAACCAGGGAGCAGAUAUUGGAACAAAACAAUUUCACAGCAGGGACAGUUCCUGCAGAGUGCCUUAGAGAGCUUCAGAAAUGCUUGUAGAUUAGCGGUUGAAUACCAAAAUGAUCCUGUGGCUCAGGAGAAUGCUUUCACUGCUCCCAACUCAGAGAAUGAAGAUACACUGAAAAGCUUUUCUGAGUUUCUUCUGAGGAUAUCUGACUCUCUUUGCAUUCCCAUAGUCAUGAAAUACUCGGAAAGGGCUGUCCGUCCAGCUCUCAUGGAAGUCUUCAUCUCAACCCUCAACAUCUUAUUCAGUGUUAUGCCAGACUCACGUAAGAGAUUCUCCAUUAAGCUGGCAUCAUCUUCUUUCAUCUACCUGAACCUGGAACUGAAGGCUAAAUUCUGCACUGGACAAAGUAACCCUUGUUUGAAUCAAGCUUGUUCUAGCUUCCUCCAAAGCAUAUGUCUUAAUCUUCAUUCAUCAUCUGAGAAACUGGUGGAUUCUUCACAAGAGGAGCAUGACCUAUCGGAACUUCUCCAAAGGAGUCUGCCGCAGUUAAACUUUGGGGUACAGGAAAGCCUCGCCCUCUUUUCUGAGACUCCAGAUUCCUUUUGUUUAGAUGAAACACUUCGUAGUCACCAGUAUAGCCUCCUGCUUCUUUUCUACUUUGCUUUUAGUCAAGAAGACAGAUUUGUUCCAGAAGCAGAGCUCUUCUCAGCUAUAAGAAGUUUUCUUCUGUCACUCCAGGACCAGGGAGACUGUCCACCCGCAUAUGUCUUCAAAGCUGUAUUGUACCUUCUAGCAAUUUGUCAAGACAAGACUAAAGCUUUAGACUUGACUACAGCCAAAUGGAAUCUGAAGACACUGACAGAAGACUCUCUGCUGGCUUUUCUGACUCCUUAAACAACGUUAACAGUUUGCUUUGCAUGCUCAAAGGCAAUCCCAGUACUUUACUUGUCUUGCUGGAUCUAGUCUGCUUUGCCACCAGUGAUGUAGCUCACAAAAUCUUAAUUACGCUGAAGAUCUUCCUGAAAAUAGAU